UACGUAGGGGGGCGAGCGUUGUCCGGAUUUACUGGGCGUAAAGCGCGUGUAGGCGGCCGAAUAAGUUGGGGUGUGAAAGCCCCGGGGGCUCAACCCCCGGGGACGCCCGCCCAAGACUGUUUGGCUUGAGGACGGAAGAGGGGCGUGGAAUUCCAGGUGUAGCGGUGAAAUGCGUAGAGAUCUGGAGGAACACCCGUGGCGAAGGCGGCAUCCUGGACCGGUAUUGACACUGAGGCGCGAAAGCCAGGGGAGCAAACGGGGAUUAGAAAACCCCUA
rnacentral:rRNA from 1 species